UUCAGGCCUCAUCAACAGCAGGGAGAACCACAAGUCACAAACUUCUUUUGCACUGAGAAAGGUGUUGCCGUGGGAACAGGGCUGCAGGCCAUGUGGUCAUCUUACUCAUCUCUAGAGGAAGGCAGGGGAGAGAGUCCCAGCCAGGUAGGAGGGACAGUGAUAAGAUCCAAGGAAGACAGGGGGAGGGACUUCUACCAUGUCAGUCAGUAGCAAAUGCAGUAAGAAUUAAAAUGUCACCAUGCAAUCCACAUUACAUCUGAAUAGAACAUCGUCUAGCAGAGUUUCUUUCCUAUGAUUAUAGGCUGUGUUGAAAUCAGAAAGAUACAAUAAAACAUAUUGGCCUAAUAGAAUAUAUUAUCAUAAAACAAAUAUAUGCUUUUUGUUUAAACGAAGAGUCCUAAAAGACUAACAGGGCACAGAUUCUAAGUGGCUAAGUUUAUGCCCAUGCUAAGACCACCAAAGCUCAUAGCUUUCAGGAGAGGGAAAUCAUGAGUCUCACAGCUUGGUAGACUACCUUCUAAAAAGGCUGGCUUCAGGUGUGGAUAUCUUGAUCUUUUUAUGAUGGUAAAGCAUCCCAAGUCAUGGACCCUGUUGAUACUGAAAACGUAAUGACACCCAAAAAGUCUUCAGGUGGCAUCAUCAGGAAAAAGAUUUGAAUAAAAUGACCAACCAGCAGAUGUCAAGGGAUAAGACCAAGGCGAUUCCUACACUGACACAGGGACAAUUAGGUGGGAAAUUCAAGCUCAAAAACUUCUGCAUCCUGCUCAACAUCAUCCCCUGCCAUGUGGACCAGUAUCUGAAGGGGAAGAGCCUGCGUUCACACUCCACACACUGCGCCAUGACUCCGUGCCACCUGUUGAUUUAUCUUUUGGGGUGCUUUGUAAUGAUUGAAUUCAGGUUCUCUCUACUCUCUCAGCUAACAGCUCAGUGACAGCAGGUCCCUUGUACCUUAUUCACCCUUACACUGCCAGGGCCUCCCACAGCACCAGACAUGCAGGAGAUGGAGAAGAGGUAGUCAUCAAGUAAUUUGUCAUAACAUAGAGCUGGUCAUUCCCACCUGUGUUUUUUGGUGAAAGGGAGAAAAGCCGAGAUAGGUUUUAUGGACCAUUAAAUGUUUUAUGCAAAAAAUGUUUCCCAUUCUGUUGGUUGCCGGUUUGCUCUCAUGGUUACUUCUUCUGCUGUACAGAAGCUCUGAAGUUUAAUUACAUCCCAUUUGUCUAUUUUGGUUUUUGUUGCCAUUGCCCAUCAACGAUAGACUGGACAGGGAAAAUGUGGCACAUAAACACCAUGGAAUACUAUGCAGCCAUAAAAAAUGAUGAGUUCGUGUUCUUUGUAGGGACAUGGAUGAAUCUGGACACCAUCAUUCUCAGCAAACUGACACAAGAACAAGAAGCAUGUUCUCACUCAUAG
rnacentral:lncRNA from 13 species